rnacentral:rRNA from 1 species
GACGAACGCUGGCGGCGUGCUUAACACAUGCAAGUCGAACGGAAAGGCCCCUUUGGGGGUACUCGAGUGGCGAACGGGUGAGUAACACGUGCGUAACCUGCCCUUGCCCUCGGGAUAACUUCAGGCAACUGGGGCUAAUACAGGAUAGGAAUCCUUUCUGCCUGGUGGGGGUUGGAAAGCUUCGGCGGUUUUGGAUGGACUUGCGGCUUAUCAGCUUGCUGGUGGGGUAGUGGGUUACCAAGGCUUUGACGGGUAGCCGGCCUGAGAGGGCGACCGGCCACAUUGGGACUGAGAUACGGCCCAGACUCCUACGGGAGGCAGCAGUGGGGAAUAUUGCACAAUGGGCGGAAGCCUGAUGCAGCAACGCCGCGUGCGGGAUGACGGCCUUCGGGUUGUAAACCGCUUUCAGCAGGGGCGAAGCUUGUGGUGACGGUACCUGCAGAAGAAGCACCGGCUAACUACGUG